AGCGAACGCUGGCGACAGGCUUAACACAUGCAAGUCGAACGGUCCUUCGGGAUAGUGGCGGACGGGUGAGUAACACGUGGGAACGUACCCUUAGGUUCGGAGCAACACAGGGAAACUUGUGCUCAUACCGGAUAAGCCCUUCGGGGGAAAGGUUUAUCGCCUUUGGAGCGGCCCGCGUCUGAUUAGCUUGUUGGUGAGGUAAUGGCUCACCAAGGCUACGAUCAGUAGCUGGUCUGAGAGGAUGGCCAGCCACACUGGGACUGAGACACGGCCCAGACUCCUACGGGAGGCAGCAGUGGGGAAUCUUGCGCAAUGGGCGAAAGCCUGACGCAGCCAUGCCGCGUGGAUGAUGAAGGUCUUAGGAUUGUAAAAUCCUUUCACCGGGGACGAUAAUGACGGUACCCGGAGAAGAAGCCCCGGCUAACUUCGUGCCAGCAGCCGCCGCAG
rnacentral:rRNA from 1 species